GGCAGUAUGGUGUAAUGUUACACUUGGGAUUUUCUCGGGUCGGGCAAUCAAUUUAAUCCCUAGGUCCUUGUUCGAAUCAAGGUACUGCUC